UCUUUCUUGGUUUUUCUUGUUACCAAAGAAAACCCAUCUUUCUUCUUCUUCUUCGUCUUCAACGGAUAUUUAUAUGUAUUUCAUGUUCUGUCGCCGGAAAUUCCUUACAUUAUGAGCUGUAAUGGGUGUCGAAUUCUCAGAAAGGGCUGCAGUGACGAUUGCACGCUUCGACAAUGCCUGCACUGGAUAGACAAUCCUCAGGCUCAGGCAAAUGCCACCAUUUUUGUUGCUAAGUUCUUUGGCCGUGCCAGCCUCAUGUCCUUCAUCUCCUCCG
rnacentral:misc_RNA from 1 species